rnacentral:rRNA from 1 species
GACGUAGGGUGCGAGCGUUGUCCGGAAUUACUGGGCGUAAAGAGCUCGUAGGUGGUUUGUCGCGUUGUUCGUGAAAACUCACAACUCAAUUGUGGGCGUGCGGGCGAUACGGGCAGACUGGAGUACUGCAGGGGAGACUGGAAUUCCUGGUGUAGCGGUGGAAUGCGCAGAUAUCAGGAGGAACACCGGUGGCGAAGGCGGGUCUCUGGUACGUGACUGACGCUGGAGACGCGAAAGCGUGGGGAGCAAACAGG